CUCUGUGAUCAAACUCGACUUCAUAGUCUUUUUCAACUAUUUGAGAAACACUCAAUAGAUUUUUGCACAGCUCCAUUACCUACACGUAUAGGAACAUUGAAGCUUGUGUUGAUGUGAGCGAAUAGGUUCUCAUGUGGCGUCAUGUGAUUUGUGCUCCCACUAUCAAUAAGCCAGACAUUCUCUUCUAGUAUUUCUUGGUCUUCUUGUCUUGCAGUGAACAUAUGAUAAGUUUCAUCUUCUUCAUUGUCUUCUUGAGUAACUUGAGCUUGAGUAACUUGAGCUUGUUCUCCAUUCUUGAGUUUGCAGUCACUGAUUAGGUGACCUACUUUUCCACAGUGAAAACAACUUCUAGUUUCUCUGUUUCCGUUGAAAGCAGACUUCGAAACCGUGCAUAGAAGGCUCCUUUAGCUUCUUUUUCAUCCUCUGGAAAGAAUUUCUUCUCAUGUGCCUCUAGAGAUCCAAGCAGCUCAGCAUAGGAGUGCUCCAGAAGUUUCCAUGCUUGACGUGCUGAGUUUGCAGAGAGAAUCUUGUCAAAGACCACAUCAGCCACUACAUGCUGAACGAUUUGGAGAGCAGCCAUGUCUUUAGCUUUGA